GGAUUGAAUGGGGGCACCCUGAUCCAGCCAUGCCGCGUGUGUGAAGAAGGCCUUCGGGUUGUAAAGCACUUUCGGACGGAACGAAAUCGCGCGGGUGAACAUCCCGCGUGGAUGACGGUACCGUAAGAAGAAGCACCGGCUAACUACGUGCCAGCAGCCGCGGUAAUACGUAGGGUGCGAGCGUUAAUCGGAAUUACUGGGCGUAAAGUGUGCGCAGGCGGCCGAGCAAGUCGAGUGUGAAAUCCCCGGGCUUAACUUGGGAAUUGCGCUCGAAACUACUUGGCUCGAGUGUGGCAGAGGAAGGUGGAAUUCCACGUGUAGCGGUGAAAUGCGUAGAGAUGUGGAGGAACACCGAUGGCGAAGGCAGCCUUCUGGGCCAACACUGACGCUCAUGCACGAAAGCGUGGGGAGCAAACAGGAUUAGAUACCCUGGUAGUCCACGCCCUAAACGAUGAUGACUAGUUGUUGGGGGAGUUAAAUCCCUUAGUAACGCAGCUAACGCGUGAAGUCAUCCGCCUGGGGAGUACGGUCGCAAGAUUAAAACUCAAAAGAAUUGACGGA
rnacentral:rRNA from 1 species